UUUCGGCGUAAAGGGUGGUUAGGGCAGAAUGAAUACUAAAGCCAAAUUUUUUCCACGCUGUUAUACGUUUCCGGAAACUAGAAGUUCAACCACGAAAGUGCUUUAUUAAACCCUGAAUCCACGAAAGCUAGGGAACAAACUGGGAUUAGAUACCCCACUAUGCCUAGCCGUAAACAUUGAUAGGUUAAUACAACCCCUAUCCGCCCGGGAACUACAAGCACAAGCUUGAAACCCAAAGGACUUGGCGGUGCUUUAGAUCCUCCUAGAGGAGCCUGUUCUAGACGAUAACCCCCGUUCAACCUCACCUUUCCUUGUUUUUUCCGCCUAUAUACCGCCGUCGUCAGCCCACCCCGUGAGGGCUUAAAAGUAGGCUUAAUUGGCACAGCCAAU
rnacentral:rRNA from 1 species